GUGUGUGCCUGUAGUAAUAAUACCAGCCACUCAGGAGGUAGAGAUUGUGAGGAUUGUGGUUCAAGACCAACUUGAACAAAAAAACUCACAGCCUAUCACAGCGAAGAAGCUAGGUGUAGUCCAAGUGGCAAUGGCCUAGCAAGGCCCUGAGUUCAAG